CCUACGGGAGGCAGCAGUGAGGAAUAUUGGUCAAUGGACGAGAGUCUGAACCAGCCAAGUAGCGUGAAGGAUGACUGCCCUAUGGGUUGUAAACUUCUUUUAUAUGGGAAUAAAAUGUUUCACGGGUGGGAUUUUGUAGGUACCAUAUGAAUAAGGAUCGGCUAACUCCGUGCCAGCAGCCGCGGUAAUACGGAGGAUCCGAGCGUUAGUCGGUUUUAUUUGGGUUAAAGGGAGCGUAGGUGGAUUGUUAAGUCAGUUGUGAAAGUUUGCGGUUCAACCGUAAAAUUGCAGUUGAAAGGGGCAGUCUGGAUUACAGUAGAGGUGGGCGGAAUUCGUGGUGUAGCGGUGAAAUGCGUAGAUAUCACGAAGAACUCCGAUGGCGAAGGCAGCUCACUGGACUGCAACUGACACUGAGGCUCGAAAGUGUGGGUAGCAAACAGGAUUAGAUACCCCGGUAGUC
rnacentral:rRNA from 1 species